GGGUAACGGGGUGUUAGGGCACGACACCGGAGAGGGAGCCUGAGAAACGGCUACCACAUCCAAGGAUGGCAGCAGGCGCGCAAAUUACCCAAUCCCGACACGGGGAGGUAGUGACAAUAAAUAACAAUACGGGGUCCUUUCGGGUUUCGUAAUUGGAAUGAGUACAAUUUAAAUCUCUUAACGAGGAACAAUUGGAGGGCAAGUCUGGUGCCAGCAGCCGCGGUAAUUCCAGCUCCAAUAGCGUAUAUUAAAGUUGUUGCAGUUAAAAAGCUCGUAGUUGAAUUUCGGGAUUAGUGCGCCGGUCGUGCCUUCGGUAUGUACUGGUGUUACUGAUUCCUACCUUCUGACGAACCGUCAUGUCAUUAAUUUGGUGUGGCGGGGAAUCAGGACUGUUACUUUGAAAAAAUUAGAGUGUUUAAAGCAGGCUCGCGCUUGAAUACAUUAGCAUGGAAUAAUGAAAUAGGACGUUCGAUCCUAUUUUGUUGGUUUCUAGGAUUGACGUAAUGAUUAAUAGGGAUAGUUGGGGGCAUUAGUAUUCAAUUGUCAGAGGUGAAAUUCUUGGAUUUAUUGAAGACUAACUACUGCGAAAGCAUUUGCCAAGGAUGUUUUCAUUAAUCAAGAACGAAAGUUAGGGGAUCGAAGACGAUCAGAUACC
rnacentral:rRNA from 1 species